UACAGAGGGUGCGAGCGUUGUUCGGAAUUAUUGGGCGUAAAGCGCUGGUAGGUGGCUUGUUAAGUCGCGUGUGAAAGCUCCAGGCUCAACCUGGAAAGUGCGCGCGAAACUGGCGAGCUUGAGUGCCGGAGAGGGUCGCGGAAUUCCCGGUGUAGAGGUGAAAUUCGUAGAUAUCGGGAGGAACACCAGCGGCGAAGGCGGCGAGCUGGAAGGUAACUGACACUGAGAAGCGAAAGCGUGGGGAGCAAAUAGG
rnacentral:rRNA from 1 species